CCCUUGCCGGGGGGCCACAUGAGUGGAAGGCCGGACGCGGAUAAGCCAUGAGUGCCGCGCAUAGAAAAACCAUGGCAGCC
rnacentral:sRNA from 12 species